rnacentral:lncRNA from 1 species
CCUUCAGUUCUUAAAGCGCUGCAAUUCGCUGCUGCAGCCAUAUUUCUUACUCUCUCGGGGCUGGAAGCUUCCUGACUGAAGAUCUCUCUGCACUUGGGGUUCUUUCUAGAACAUUUUCUAGUCCCCCAACACCCUUUAUGGCGUAUUUCUUUAAAAAAAUCACCUAAAUUCCAUAAAAUAUUUUUUUAAAUUCUAUACUUUCUCCUAGUGUCUUCUUGACACGUCCUCCAUAUUUUUUUAAAGAAAGUAUUUGGAAUAUUUUGAGGCAAUUUUUAAUAUUUAAGGAAUUUUUCUUUGGAAUCAUUUUUGGUUGACAUCUCUGUUUUUUGUGGAUCAGUUUUUUACUCUUCCACUCUCUUUUCUAUAUUUUGCCCAUCGGGGCUGCGGAUACCUGGUUUUAUUAUUUUUUCUUUGCCCAACGGGGCCGUGGAUACCUGCCUUUUAAUUCUUUUUUAUUCGCCCAUCGGGGCCGCGGAUACCUGCUUUUUAUUUUUUUUUCCUUAGCCCAUCGGGGUAUCGGAUACCUGCUGAUUCCCUUCCCCUCUGAACCCCCAACACUCUGGCCCAUCGGGGUGACGGAUAUCUGCUUUUUAAAAAUUUUCUUUUUUUGGCCCAUCGGGGCUUCGGAUACCUGCUUUUUUUUUUUUUAUUUUUCCUUGCCCAUCGGGGCCUCGGAUACCUGCUUUAAUUUUUGUUUUUCUGGCCCAUCGGGGCCGCGGAUACCUGCUUUGAUUUUUUUUUUUCAUCGCCCAUCGGUGCUUUUUAUGGAUGAAAAAAUGUUGGUUUUGUGGGUUGUUGCACUCUCUGGAAUAUCUACACUUUUUUUUGCUGCUGAUCAUUUGGUGGUGUGUGAGUGUACCUACCGCUUUGGCAGAGAAUGACUCUGCAGUUAAGCUAAGGGCGUGUUCAGAUUGUGGAGGAAAAGUGGCCGCCAUUUUAGACUUGCCGCAUAACUCGGCUUAGGGCUAGUCGUUUGUGCUAAGUUAAACUAGGGAGGCAAGAUGGAUGAUAGCAGGUCAGGCAGAGGAAGUCAUGUGCAUUGCAUGAGCUAAACCUAUCUGAAUGAAUUGAUUUGGGGCUUGUUAGGAGCUUUGCGUGAUUGUUGUAUCGGGAGGCAGUAAGAAUCAUCUUUUAUCAGUACAAGGGACUAGUUAAAAAUGGAAGGUUAGGAAAGACUAAGGUGCAGGGCUUAAAAUGGCGAUUUUGACAUUGCGGCAUUGCUCAGCAUGGCGGGCUGUGCUUUGUUAGGUUGUCCAAAAUGGCGGAUCCAGUUCUGUCGCAGUGUUCAAGUGGCGGGAAGGCCACAUCAUGAUGGGCGAGGCUUUGUUAAGUGGUUAGCAUGGUGGUGGACAUGUGCGGUCACACAGGAAAAGAUGGCGGCUGAAGGUCUUGCCGCAGUGUAAAACAUGGCGGGCCUCUUUGUCUUUGCUGUGUGCUUUUCGUGUUGGGUUUUGCCGCAGGGACAAUAUGGCAGGCGUUGUCAUAUGUAUAUCAUGGCUUUUGUCACGUGGACAUCAUGGCGGGCUUGCCGCAUUGUUAAAGAUGGCGGGUUUUGCCGCCUAGUGCCACGCAGAGCGGGAGAAAAGGUGGGAUGGACAGUGCUGGAUUGCUGCAUAACCCAACCAAUUAGAAAUGGGGGUGGAAUUGAUCACAGCCAAUUAGAGCAGAAGAUGGAAUUAGACUGAUGACACACUGUCCAGCUACUCAGCGAAGACCUGGGUGAAUUAGCAUGGCACUUCGCAGCUGUCUUUAGCCAGUCAGGAGAAAGAAGUGGAGGGGCCACGUGUAUGUCUCCCAGUGGGCGGUACACCAGGUGUUUUCAAGGUCUUUUCAAGGACAUUUAGCCUUUCCACCUCUGUCCCCUCUUAUUUGUCCCCUCCUGUCCAGUGCUGCCUCUUGCAGUGCUGGAUAUCUGGCUGUGUGGUCUGAACCUCCCUCCAUUCCUCUGUAUUGGUGCCUCACCUAAGGCUAAGUAUACCUCCCCCCCCACCCCCCAACCCCCCCAACUCCCCACCCCCACCCCCCACCCCCCACCUCCCCACCCCCCUACCCCCCUACCCCCCUACCCCCCUCUGGUCUGCCCUGCACUGCACUGUUGCCAUGGGCAGUGCUCCAGGCCUGCUUGGUGUGGACAUGGUGGUGAGCCGUGGCAAGGACCAGAAUGGAUCACAGAUGAUCGUUGGCCAACAGGUGGCAGAAGAGGAAUUCCUGCCUUCCUCAAGAGGAACACCUACCCCUUGGCUAAUGCUGGGGUCGGAUUUUGAUUUAUAUUUAUCUUUUGGAUGUCAGUCAUACAGUCUGAUUUUGUGGUUUGCUAGUGUUUGAAUUUAAGUCUUAAGUGACUAUUAUAGAAAUGUAUUAAGAGGCUUUAUUUGUAGAAUUCACUUUAAUUACAUUUAAUGAGUUUUUGUUUUGAGUUCCUUAAAAUUCCUUAAAGUUUUUAGCUUCUCAUUACAAAUUCCUUAACCUUUUUUUGGCAGUAGAUAGUCAAAGUCAAAUCAUUUCUAAUGUUUUAAAAAUGUGCUGGUCAUUUUCUUUGAAAUUGACUUAACUAUUUUCCUUUGAAGAGUCUGUAGCACAGAAACAGUAAAAAAUUUAACUUCAUGACCUAAUGUAAAAAAGAGUGUUUGAAGGUUUACACAGGUCCAGGCCUUGCUUUGUUCCCAUCCUUGAUGCUGCACUAAUUGACUAAUCACCUACUUAUCAGACAGGAAACUUGAAUUGCUGUGGUCUGGUGUCCUCUAUUCAGACUUAUUAUAUUGGAGUAUUUCAAUUUUUCGUUGUAUCCUGCCUGCCUAGCAUCCAGUUCCUCCCCAGCCCUGCUCCCAGCAAACCCCUAGUCUAGCCCCAGCCCUACUCCCACCCCGCCCCAGCCCUGCCCCAGCCCCAGUCCCCUAACCCCCCAGCCCUAGCCCCAGUCCCAGUCCUAGUUCCUCAGUCCCGCCCAGCUUCUCUCGAAAGUCACUCUAAUUUUCAUUGAUUCAGUGCUCAAAAUAAGUUGUCCAUUGCUUAUCCUAUUAUACUGGGAUAUUCCGUUUACCCUUGGCAUUGCUGAUCUUCAGUACUGACUCCUUGACCAUUUUCAGUUAAUGCAUACAAUCCCAUUUGUCUGUGAUCUCAGGACAAAGAAUUUCCUUACUCGGUACGUUGAAGUUAGGGAAUGUCAAUUGAGAGCUUUCUAUCAGAGCAUUAUUGCCCACAAUUUGAGUUACUUAUCAUUUUCUCGAUCCCCUGCCCUUAAAGGAGAAACCAUUUCUCUGUCAUUGCUUCUGUAGUCACAGUCCCAAUUUUGAGUAGUGAUCUUUUCUUGUGUACUGUGUUGGCCACCUAAAACUCUUUGCAUUGAGUAAAAUUCUAAUUGCCAAUAAUCCUACCCAUUGGAUUAGACAGCACUCUGAACCCCAUUUGCAUUCAGCAGGGGGUCGCAGACAACCCGUCUUUUGUUGGACAGUUAAAAUGCUCAGUCCCAAUUGUCAUAGCUUUGCCUAUUAAACAAAGGCACCCUACUGCGCUUUUUGCUGUGCUUCUGGAGAAUCCUGCUGUUCUUGGACAAUUAAAGAACAAAGUAGUAAUUGCUAAUUGUCUCACCCAUUAAUCAUGAAGACUACCAGUCGCCCUUGCAUUUGCCUUGAGGCAGCGCUGACUACCUGAGAUUUAAGAGUUUCUUAAAUUAUUGAGUAAAAUCCCAAUUAUCCAUAGUUCUGUUAGUUACACUAUGGCCUUUGCAAACAUCUUUGCAUAACAGCAGUGGGACUGACUCAUUCUUAGAGCCCCUUCCCUUGGAAUAUUAAUGGAUACAAUAGUAAUUAUUCAUGGUUCUGCGUAACAGAGAAGACCCACUUAUGUGUAUGCCUUUAUCAUUGCUCCUAGAUAGUGUGAACUACCUACCACCUUGCAUUAAUAUGUAAAACACUAAUUGCCCAUAGUCCCACUCAUUAGUCUAGGAUGUCCUCUUUGCCAUUGCUGCUGAGUUCUGACUACCCAAGUUUCCUUCUCUUAAACAGUUGAUAUGCAUAAUUGCAUAUAUUCAUGGUUCUGUGCAAUAAAAAUGGAUUCUCACCCCAUCCCACCUUCUGUGGGAUGUUGCUAACGAGUGCAGAUUAUUCAAUAACAGCUCUUGAACAGUUAAUUUGCACAGUUGCAAUUGUCCAGAGUCCUGUCCAUUAGAAAGGGACUCUGUAUCCUAUUUGCACGCUACAAUGUGGGCUGAUCACCCAAGGACUCUUCUUGUGCAUUGAUGUUCAUAAUUGUAUUUGUCCACGAUCUUGUGCACUAACCCUUCCACUCCCUUUGUAUUCCAGCAGGGGACCCUUACUACUCAAGACCUCUGUACUAGGACAGUUUAUGUGCACAAUCCUAAUUGAUUAGAACUGAGUCUUUUAUAUCAAGGUCCCUGCAUCAUCUUUGCUUUACAUCAAGAGGGUGCUGGUUACCUAAUGCCCCUCCUCCAGAAAUUAUUGAUGUGCAAAAUGCAAUUUCCCUAUCUGCUGUUAGUCUGGGGUCUCAUCCCCUCAUAUUCCUUUUGUCUUACAGCAGGGGGUACUUGGGACUGUUAAUGCGCAUAAUUGCAAUUAUGGUCUUUUCCAUUAAAUUAAGAUCCCAACUGCUCACACCCUCUUAGCAUUACAGUAGAGGGUGCUAAUCACAAGGACAUUUCUUUUGUACUGUUAAUGUGCUACUUGCAUUUGUCCCUCUUCCUGUGCACUAAAGACCCCACUCACUUCCCUAGUGUUCAGCAGUGGAUGACCUCUAGUCAAGACCUUUGCACUAGGAUAGUUAAUGUGAACCAUGGCAACUGAUCACAACAAUGUCUUUCAGAUCAGAUCCAUUUUAUCCUCCUUGUUUUACAGCAAGGGAUAUUAAUUACCUAUGUUACCUUUCCCUGGGACUAUGAAUGUGCAAAAUUCCAAUGUUCAUGGUCUCUCCCUUUAAACCUAUAUUCUACCCCUUUUACAUUAUAGAAAGGGAUGCUGGAAACCCAGAGUCCUUCUCUUGGGACUCUUAAUGUGUAUUUCUAAUUAUCCAUGACUCUUAAUGUGCAUAUUUUCAAUUGCCUAAUUGAUUUCAAUUGUCUAAGACAUUUCAAAUGUCUAAUUGAUUAGAACUGAGUCUUUUAUAUCAAGCUAAUAUCUAGCUUUUAUAUCAAGCUAAUAUCUUGACUUCUCAGCAUCAUAGAAGGGGGUACUGAUUUCCUAAAGUCUUUCUUGAAUUUCUAUUAUGCAAAAUUGCCCUGAGGCCGGGUGUGGUGGCUCACACCUGUAAUCCCAGCACUUUGGGAGGCUGAGGUGGGAAGAUCCCUUACUGCCAGGAGUUUGAGACCAGCCUGGCCAACAUUAAAAAAAAAAAAAAGUAAGACAAUUGCCCUGGAAUCCCAUCCCCCUCACACCUCCUUGGCAAAGCAGCAGGAGUGCUAACUAGCUAGUGCUUCUUCUCUUAUACUGCUUAAAUGCGCAUAAUUAGCAGUAGUUGAUGUGCCCCUAUGUUAGAGUAGAAUCCCGCUUCCUUGCUCCAUUUGCAUUACUGCAGGAGCUUCUAACUAGCCUGAAUUCACUCUCUUGGACUGUUAAUGUGCAUACUUAUAUUUGCUGCUGUACUUUUUUACCAUGUAAGGACCCCACCCACUGUAUUUACAUCCCAGCUGGAAGUACCUACUACUUAAGACCCUUAGACUAGUAAAGUUAGCGUGCAUAAUCUUAGGUGUUAUAUACACAUUUUCAGUUGCAUACAGUUGUGCCUUUUAUCAGGACUCCUGUACUUAUCAAAGCAGAGAGUGCUAAUCAAUAUUAAGCCCUUCUCUUCGAACUGUAGAUGGCAUGUAAUUGCAGUUGUCAAUGGUCCUUCAAUUAGACUUGGGUUUCUGACCUAUCACACCCUCUUUGCUUUAUUGCAUGGGGUACUAUUCACUUAAGGCCCCUUUCUCAAACUGUUAAUGUGCCUAAUGACAAUUACAUCAGUAUCCUUCCUUUUGAAGGACAGCAUGGUUGGUGACACCUAAGGCCCCAUUUCUUGGCCUCCCAAUAUGUGUGAUUGUAUUUGUCGAGGUUGCUAUGCACUAGAGAAGGAAAGUGCUCCCCUCAUCCCCACUUUUCCCUUCCAGCAGGAAGUGCCCACCCCAUAAGACCCUUUUAUUUGGAGAGUCUAGGUGCACAAUUGUAAGUGACCACAAGCAUGCAUCUUGGACAUUUAUGUGCGUAAUCGCACACUGCUCAUUCCAUGUGAAUAAGGUCCUACUCUCCGACCCCUUUUGCAAUACAGAAGGGUUGCUGAUAACGCAGUCCCCUUUUCUUGGCAUGUUGUGUGUGAUUAUAAUCGUCUGGGAUCCUAUGCACUAGAAAAGGAGGGUCCUCUCCACAUACCUCAGUCUCACCUUUCCCUUCCAGCAGGGAGUGCCCACUCCAUAAGACUCUCACAUUUGGACAGUCAAGGUGCGUAAUUGUUAAGUGAACACAACCAUGCACCUUAGACAUGGAUUUGCAUAACUACACACAGCUCAACCUAUCUGAAUAAAAUCCUACUCUCAGACCCCUUUUGCAGUACAGCAGGGGUGCUGAUCACCAAGGCCCUUUUUCCUGGCCUGGUAUGCGUGUGAUUAUGUUUGUCCCGGUUCCUGUGUAUUAGACAUGGAAGCCUCCCCUGCCACACUCCACCCCCAAUCUUCCUUUCCCUUCCGGCAGGGAGUGCCCUCUCCAUAAGACGCUUACGUUUGGACAAUCAAGGUGCACAGUUGUAAGUGACCACAGGCAUACACCUUGGACAUUAAUGUGCAUAACCACUUUGCCCAUUCCAUCUGAAUAAGGUCCUACUCUCAGACCCCUUUUGCAGUACAGCAGGGGUGCUGAUCACCAAGGCCCCUUUUCUUGGCCUGUUAUGUGCGUGAUUAUAUUUGUCUGGGUUCCUGUGUAUUAGACAAGGAAGCCUUCCCCCCGCCCCCACCCCCACUCCCAGUCUUCCUUUCCCUUCCAGCAGGGAGUGCCCCCUCCAUAAGAUCAUUACAUUUGGACAAUCAAGGUGCACAAUUAUAAGUGACCACAGCCAUGCACCUUGGACAUUAUUGGACAUUAAUGUGCGUAACUGCACAUGGCCCAUCCCAUCUGAAUAAGGUCCUACUCUCAGAUGCCCUUUGCAGUACAGCAGGGGUACUGAAUCACCAAGGCCCUUUUUCUUGGCCUGUUAUGUGUGUGAUUAUAUUUAUCCCAGUUUCUGUGUAAUAGACAUGAAAGCCUCCCCUGCCACACCCCACCUCCAAUCUUCCUUUCCCUUCCACCAGGGAGUGUCCACUCCAUAUACCCUUACAUUUGGACAAUCAAGGUGCACAAUUGUAAGUGAGCAUAGGCACUCACCUUGGACAUGAAUGUGCAUAACUGCACAUGGCCCAUCCCAUCUGAAUAAGGUCCUACUCUCAGACCCUUUUUGCAGUACAGCAGGGGUGCUGAUCACCAAGGCCCCUUUUCCUGGCCUGUUAUGUGUGUGAUUAUAUUUGUUCCAGUUCCUGUGUAAUAGACAUGGAAGCCUCCCCUGCCACACUCCACCCCCAAUCUUCCUUUCCCUUCUGGCAGGAAGUACCCGCUCCAUAAGACCCUUACAUUUGGACAGUCAAGGUGCACAAUUGUAUGUGACCACAACCAUGCACCUUGGACAUAAAUGUGUGUAACUGCACAUGGCCCAUCCCAUCUGAAUAAGGUCCUACUCUCAGACCCCUUUUGCAGUACAGUAGGUGUGCUGAUAACCAAGGCCCCUCUUCCUGGCCUGUUAACGUAUGUGAUUAUAUUUGUCUGGGUUCCAGUGUAUAAGACAUGGAAGCCUCCCCUGCCCCACCCCACCCUCAAUCUUCCUUUCCCUUCUGGCAGGGAGUGCCAGCUCCAUAAGAACCUUACAUUUGGACAGUCAAGGUGCACAAUUCUAAGUGACCGCAGCCAUGCACCUUGGUCAAUAAUGUGUGUAACUGCACACGGCCUAUCUCAUCUGAAUAAGGCCUUACUCUCAGACCCCUUUUGCAGUACAGCAGGGGUGCUGAUAACCAAGGCCCAUUUUCCUGGCCUGUUAUGUGUGUGAUUAUAUUUGUCCAGGUUUCUGUGUACUAGACAAGGAAGCCUCCUCUGCCCCAUCCCAUCUACGCAUAAUCUUUCUUUUCCUCCCAGCAGGGAGUGCUCACUCCAUAAGACCCUUACAUUUGGACAAUCAAGGUGCACAAUUGUAAGUGACCACAACCAUGCAUCUUGGAAAUUUAUGUGCAUAACUGCACAUGGCUUAUCCUAUUUGAAUAAAGUCCUACUCUCAGACCCCCUUUGCAGUAUAGCUGGGGUGCUGAUCACUGAGGCCUCUUUGCUUGGCUUGUCUAUAUUCUUGUGUACUAGAUAAGGGCACCUUCUCAUGGACUCCCUUUGCUUUUCAACAAGGAGUACCCACUACUUUUUAAGAUUCUUAUAUUUGUCCAAAGUACAUGGUUUUAAUUGACCACAACAAUGUCCCUUGGACAUUAAUGUAUGUAAUCACCACAUGGUUCAUCCUAAUUAAACAAAGUUCUACCUUCUCACCCUCCAUUUGCAGUAUACCAGGGUUGCUGACCCCCUAAGUCCCCUUUUCUUGGCUUGUUGACAUGCAUAAUUGCAUUUAUGUUGGUUCUUGUGCCCUAGACAAGGAUGCCCCACCUCUUUUCAAUAGUGGGUGCCCACUCCUUAUGAUCUUUACAUUUGAACAGUUAAUGUGAAUAAUUGCAGUUGUCCACAACCCUAUCACUUCUAGGACCAUUAUACCUCUUUUGCAUUACUGUGGGGUAUACUGUUUCCCUCCAAGGCCCCUUCUGGUGGACUAUCAACAUAUAAUUGAAAUUUUCUUUUGUCUUUGUCAGUAGAUUAAGGUCAUACCCCAUCACCUUUCCUUUGUAGUACAACAGGGUGUCCUGAUCAACCAAAGUCCUGUUGUUUUGGACUGUUAAUAUGUGCAAUUACAUUUGCUCCUGAUCUGUGCACUAGAUAAGGAUCCUACCUACUUUCUUAGUGUUUUUAGCAGGUAGUGCCCACUACUCAAGACUGUCACUUGGAAUGUUCAUGUGCACAAACUCAAUUCUCUAAGCAUGUUCCUGUACCACCUUUGCUUUAGAGCAGGGGGAUGAUAUUCACUAAGUGCCCCUUCUUUUGGACUUAAUAUGCAUUAAUGCAAUUGUCCACCUCUUCUUUUAGACUAAGAGUUGAUCUCCACAUAUUCCCCUUGCAUCAGGGGCAUGUUAAUUAUGAAUGAACCCUUUUCUUUUAAUAUUAAUGUCAUAAUUGUAUUUGUGGACCUGUGUAGGAGAAAAAGACCCUAUGUUCCUCCCAUUACCCUUUGGAUUGCUGCUGAGAAGUGUUAACUACUCAUAAUCUCAGCUCUUGGACAAUUAAUAGCAUUAAUAACAAUUAUCAAGGGCACUGAUCAUUAGAUAAGACUCCUGCUUCCUCGUUGCUUACAUCGGGGGUACUGACCCACUAAGGCCCCUUGUACUGUUAAUGUGAAUAUUUGCAAUUAUAUAUGUCUCCUUCUGGUAGAGUGGGAUAUUAUGCCCUAGUAUCCCCUUUGCAUUACUGCAGGGGCUGCUGACUACUCAAAACUUCUCCUGGGACUGUUAAUAGGCACAAUGGCAGUUAUCAAUGGUUUUCUCCCUCCCUGACCUUGUUAAGCAAGCGCCCCACCCCACCCUUAGUUUCCCAUGGCAUAAUAAAGUAUAAGCAUUGGAGUAUUCCAUGCACUUGUCUAUCAAACAGUGGUCCAUACUCCCAACCCUUUUGCAUUGCGCCAGUGUGUAAAAUCACAGGUAGCCAUGGUGUCAUGCUUUAUAUACGAAGUCUUCCCUCUCUCUGCCCCUUGUGUGCCCUUGGCCCCUUUUUACAGACUAUUGCUCACAAUCUCAGGUGUCCAUAUUUGCAGCUAUUAGGUAAGAUUGUGCUGUCUCCCUCUUCCCUUCCCUCUGCCCUGCCCCUUUUGCCUCUUUGCUGGGUAAUGUUGACCAGACAAGGCCCUUUCUCUUGGACUUAAACAAUUCUCAGUUGCACUUUCCUUGGUCCCACCCAUUAUACAUGAACCCCUCUACUUCCUUUCGCAUUGCUUCUGAGUAUGCUGACUACCCAAAGCCCCUUCUGUGUUAUUAAUAAACACAGUACUGAUUGUCCCAUUUUUCAGCCCAUCAGUCCAAGAUCUCCCUACCACUUUGGUGUGUUGGUGCAGUGUUGACUAUGAAAAGCAGGCCUGAACUAGGUGGAUAAGCCUUCACUCAUUUUCUUUCAUUUAUUAAUGAUCCUAGUUUCAAUUAUUGUCAGAUUCUGGGGACAAGAACCAUUCUUGCCCACCUGUGUUACUGCUUUACUGUGCAAAAUACUGAAGGCAAGUCAGACCCAGGGAGCUGGAUUGCCAUCCUUUAUUUUGUGUUUCCAGUGUACACUAUAAAAUUGUCUCCCCAGGAAGGAAGGUUGGCACUUUCUCUGCAUUCUUCUUUCCAGAGCAGAUUGCCUGGUUAAGAAUCUCUUGUUGUCCCCUUUGUAUAUUGUUAUUGUAAAGUGCCAAAUGCCAGGAUACAGCCAGAAAAAUUGCUUAUUAUUAUUAAAAAAAUUUUUUUAAGAAAGACAUCUGGAUUGUAGGGUGGACUCGAUAACCUGGUCAUUAUUUUUUUGAAGCCAAAAUAUCCAUUUAUACUAUGUACCUGGUGACCAGUGUCUCUCAUUUUAACUGAGGGUGGUGGGUCUGUGGAUAGAACACUGACUCUUGCUAUUUUAAUAUCAAAGAUAUUCUAGAGUGGAACUCUUAAGACCAGUAUCUUUGUGUGGGCUUUACCAGCAUUCACUUUUAGAAAAACUACCUAAAUUUUAUAAUCCUUUAAUUUCUUCAUCUGGAGCACCUGCCCCUACUUAUUUCAAGAAGAUUGCAGUAAAACGAUUAAAUGAGGGAACAUAUGCAGAGGUGCUUUUAAAAAGCAUAUGCCACCUUUUUUAUUAAUUAUUAUAUAAAAUGAAGCAUUUAAUUAUAGUAAUAAUUUGAAGUAGUUUGAAGUACCACACUGAGGUGAGGACUUAAAAAUGAUAAGACGAGUUCCCUAUUUUAUAAGAAAAAUAAGCCAAAAUUAAAUAUUCUUUUGGAUAUAAAUUUCAACAGUGAGAUAGCUGCCUAGUGGAAAUGAAUAAUAUCCCAGCCACUAGUGUACAGGGUGUUUUGUGGCACAGGAUUAUGUAAUAUGGAACUGCUCAAGCAAAUAACUAGUCAUCACAACAGCAGUUCUUUGUAAUAACUGAAAAAGAAUAUUGUUUCUCGGAGAAGGAUGUCAAAAGAUCGGCCCAGCUCAGGGAGCAGUUUGCCCUACUAGCUCCUCGGACAGCUGUAAAGAAGAGUCUCUGGCUCUUUAGAAUACUGAUCCCAUUGAAGAUACCACGCUGCAUGUGUCCUUAGUAGUCAUGUCUCCUUAGGCUCCUCUUGAUCUUCCUCAGAAGAAUAGGCUUGUUGUUUUACAGUGUUAGUGAUCCAUUCCCUUUGACGAUCCCUAGGUGGAGAUGGGGCAUGAGGAUCCUCCAGGGGAAAAGCUCACUACCACUGGGCAACAACCCUAGGUCAGGAGGUUCUGUCAAGAUACUUUCCUGGUCCCAGAUAGGAAGAUAAAGUCUCAAAAACAACCACCACACGUCAAGCUCUUCAUUGUUCCUAUCUGCCAAAUCAUUAUACUUCCUACAAGCAGUGCAGAGAGCUGAGUCUUCAGCAGGUCCAAGAAAUUUGAACACACUGAAGGAAGUCAGCCUUCCCACCUGAAGAUCAACAUGCCUGGCACUCUAGCACUUGAGGAUAGCUGAAUGAAUGUGUAUUUCUUUGUCUCUUUCUUUCUUGUCUUUGCUCUUUGUUCUCUAUCUAAAGUGUGUCUUACCCAUUUCCAUGUUUCUCUUGCUAAUUUCUUUCGUGUGUGCCUUUGCCUCAUUUUCUCUUUUUGUUCACAAGAGUGGUCUGUGUCUUGUCUUAGACAUAUCUCUCAUUUUUCAUUUUGUUGCUAUUUCUCUUUGCUCUCCUAGAUGUGGCUCUUCUUUCACGCUUUAUUUCAUGUCUCCUUUUUGGGUCACAUGCUGUGUGCUUUUUGUCCUUUUCUUGUUCUGUCUACCUCUCCUUUCUCUGCCUACCUCUCUUUUCUCUUUGUGAACUGUGAUUAUUUGUUACCCCUUCCCCUUCUCGUUCGUUUUAAAUUUCACCUUUUUUCUGAGUCUGGCCUCCUUUCUGCUGUUUCUACUUUUUAUCUCACAUUUCUCAUUUCUGCAUUUCCUUUCUGCCUCUCUUGGGCUAUUCUCUCUCUCCUCCCCUGCGUGCCUCAGCAUCUCUUGCUGUUUGUGAUUUUCUAUUUCAGUAUUAAUCUCUGUUGGCUUGUAUUUGUUCUCUGCUUCUUCCCUUUCUACUCACCUUUGAGUAUUUCAGCCUCUUCAUGAAUCUAUCUCCCUCUCUUUGAUUUCAUGUAAUCUCUCCUUAAAUAUUUCUUUGCAUAUGUGGGCAAGUGUACGUGUGUGUGUGUCAUGUGUGGCAGAGGGGCUUCCUAACCCCUGCCUGAUAGGUGCAGAACGUCGGCUAUCAGAGCAAGCAUUGUGGAGCGGUUCCUUAUGCCAGGCUGCCAUGUGAGAUGAUCCAAGACCAAAACAAGGCCCUAGACUGCAGUAAAACCCAGAACUCAAGUAGGGCAGAAGGUGGAAGGCUCAUAUGGAUAGAAGGCCCAAAGUAUAAGACAGAUGGUUUGAGACUUGAGACCCGAGGACUAAGAUGGAAAGCCCAUGUUCCAAGAUAGAUAGAAGCCUCAGGCCUGAAACCAACAAAAGCCUCAAGAGCCAAGAAAACAGAGGGUGGCCUGAAUUGGACCGAAGGCCUGAGUUGGAUGGAAGUCUCAAGGCUUGAGUUAGAAGUCUUAAGACCUGGGACAGGACACAUGGAAGGCCUAAGAACUGAGACUUGUGACACAAGGCCAACGACCUAAGAUUAGCCCAGGGUUGUAGCUGGAAGACCUACAACCCAAGGAUGGAAGGCCCCUGUCACAAAGCCUACCUAGAUGGAUAGAGGACCCAAGCGAAAAAGGUAUCUCAAGACUAACGGCCGGAAUCUGGAGGCCCAUGACCCAGAACCCAGGAAGGAUAGAAGCUUGAAGACCUGGGGAAAUCCCAAGAUGAGAACCCUAAACCCUACCUCUUUUCUAUUGUUUACACUUCUUACUCUUAGAUAUUUCCAGUUCUCCUGUUUAUCUUUAAGCCUGAUUCUUUUGAGAUGUACUUUUUGAUGUUGCCGGUUACCUUUAGAUUGACAGUAUUAUGCCUGGGCCAGUCUUGAGCCAGCUUUAAAUCACAGCUUUUACCUAUUUGUUAGGCUAUAGUGUUUUGUAAACUUCUGUUUCUAUUCACAUCUUCUCCACUUGAGAGAGACACCAAAAUCCAGUCAGUAUCUAAUCUGGCUUUUGUUAACUUCCCUCAGGAGCAGACAUUCAUAUAGGUGAUACUGUAUUUCAGUCCUUUCUUUUGACCCCAGAAGCCCUAGACUGAGAAGAUAAAAUGGUCAGGUUGUUGGGGAAAAAAAAGUGCCAGGCUCUCUAGAGAAAAAUGUGAAGAGAUGCUCCAGGCCAAUGAGAAGAAUUAGACAAGAAAUACACAGAUGUGCCAGACUUCUGAGAAGCACCUGCCAGCAACAGCUUCCUUCUUUGAGCUUAGUUUCUGGCAUCACUACCACUACUGAUUAAACAAGAAUAAGAGAACAUUUUAUCAUCAUCUGCUUUAUUCACAUAAAUGAAGUUGUGAUGAAUAAAUCUGCUUUUAUGCAGACACAAGGAAUUAAGUGGCUUCGUCAUUGUCCUUCUACCUCAAAGAUAAUUUAUUCCAAAAGCUAAGAUAAAUGGAAGACUCUUGAACUUGUGAACUGAUGUGAAAUGCAGAAUCUCUUUUGAGUCUUUGCUGUUUGGAAGAUUGAAAAAUAUUGUUCAGCAUGGGUGACCACCAGAAAGUAAUCUUAAGCCAUCUAGAUGUCACAAUUGAAACAAACUGGGGAGUUGGUUGCUAUUGUAAAAUAAAAUAUACUGUUUUGAAAACUUUGUAUUUUGAUGUGACAAUUUCUAACUCACUGUCCCUAA